GGAGCCUUGAAAACUCCUAACAUCAGUCAGCGAAAAGGUACUCUCUAGCGACAACUCUAAACACGGCUACAACGCUGCAACUGGCAAAUACGAAGAUCUUAUGUCUGCAGGAAUCAUUGAUCCAACCAAAGUGAGAAGAGAUUCUUAACUUCAUCGCAGAUUGAAAUCUUAUGGUUUUGCAUGCUAACCGAGUGUAUUUUUUUUUCUUUAAGGUUGUGAGAUGUUGCUUAGAGCAUGUGUCAUAUGUGGCUAAGACAUUCUUGAUGUCUGAUUGUGGAGAUCAAGGAGCCUGAAUCAGCAGCGCCUGCUGGUAACCCCAUGGAUAAUUCAGGUUUGUCUUAGUUUUUUUUUUUUUUUUUACGGAAUCCUCUUGAACCAUCGGUUUAACAUCAGUAAUCUUUUUCUGAUGUAUCUUUUGAUUUUUCAGGUUAUGGCUUCUAAGUUAGCAAUGAGAACAGAGUAGUCUCUGAGAAAGCAAAAGCCACGAUUUAGUUCUUUAUUUUCUGAUCUGAAACAUCCUUGAUCCUAUGUAAACUAUAUGUUUUUCCCAUGACUUGAAGAACAUAUAAUGUGGUUUUUGUGUUCUCUGAAGCAAGAAUAAAACAAGUCUUUGAAUAUCAACACGUCAUGGUCGAGAAAAGAUUACAUGAUUUGCAAGUUGGCAUGAUCAACAGAUAUUAGUGAUACACUAAUUACUUAACUAGUGAUGCGGACAGUAUAUAAUUUUUCGUUUAUUACAUUAUUUCAAGAUGUCAGUUUGGUGGAUGAAGAAACAGAAAGUGAUCUUCCUAGAAUUUUCCAACAUUUUUGUUUAUUCUUUUAUCUAGUAAAAUUAUUUAUCGGAGAGAAAUACUAAACUACAUUUUCAAAGUCAAAUCAUACUUUAAAAGCUGCAGAGUGGUCAGUGACUCCCUCUUAUCAUCAUAACCUUUUUGUUGGUUUUGUUCAUAUUCUUUUUUCACAAAACAACAGUUUUGAUAACAAAAUUGAGAGUAUUUUUGAUGUACGUGUAUAGCAACUUUAGAGUCAAUCAUACUUGAAAAAAUUGUUAAGUUA